rnacentral:lncRNA from 1 species
CAACUAUAUUUCAAUUGCAAUAAUAUACAGAUCUAAAUUCGAUAUUUGAUUUGAUGUAUUUUAAUUCAAUUAUUACAGUUGGAACUGCAGUUGGAGCUGAAUGAGGAUACCCAACUGUAACAAUUUGAAUUACGUUCAAGUUGGUCGCACUUCUAACCACAGUAAUUGGAGAGAGUAACUUAAAAAAAAGGUUUACGUUCCUAAUUGGUUUUUAAAUUAAAAUAUUUAAAUUUUAUAUUAGAAGUAAUCUUCUCAUUACGUAUAUAAAGUAAUAAAAUUUUACAAAUAUAAUUUUCAACUACACAUAAUCAAAUAAAUUAUUUAUAGUUAUAAAACUAAAUAAUAAGAAAAAAAAAAUUUUAGGAAAAAAUAGCACGUUGCAUGCUUCAUUCAUUAAAAGUAUGAAUUAAGCAAUAUGGGUUAUGUAA